rnacentral:rRNA from 1 species
GUACACUCCUACGGGAGGCAGCAGUGGGGAAUAUUGCACAAUGGGCGCAAGCCUGAUGCAGCCAUGCCGCGUGUAUGAAGAAGGCCUUCGGGUUGUAAAGUACUUUCAGCGGGGAGGAAGGCGAUAAGGUUAAUAACCUUGUCGAUUGACGUUACCCGCAGAAGAAGCACCGGCUAACUCCGUGCCAGCAGCCGCGGUAAUACGGAGGGUGCAAGCGUUAAUCGGAAUUACUGGGCGUAAAGCGCACGCAGGCGGUCUGUCAAGUCGGAUGUGAAAUCCCCGGGCUCAACCUGGGAACUGCAUUCGAAACUGGCAGGCUUGAGUCUUGUAGAGGGGGGUAGAAUUCCAGGUGUAGCGGUGAAAUGCGUAGAGAUCUGGAGGAAUACCGGUGGCGAAGGCGGCCCCCUGGACAAAGACUGACGCUCAGGUGCGAAAGCGUGGGGAGCAAACAGGAUUAGAUACCCGGGUAGUCCCAUG